AGGGUUUGAUCCUGGCUCAGAACGAACGCUGGCGGCAGGCCUCAUACAUGCAAGUCGAGCGGUCCUUCGGGACAGCGGCGAACGGGUUAGUAACGCGUGGGAACGUGCCCUUUAGUAUGGAAUAGCCAUUGGAAACGAUGAUUAAUACCGUAUACGCCCCAAGGGGGAAAGAUUUAUCGCUAAAGGAUCGGCCCGCGUUAGAUUAGGUAGUUGGUAGGGUAAUGGCCUACCAAGCCGACGAUCUAUAGCUGGUUUGAGAGGAUGAUCAGCAACACUGGGACUGAGACACGGCCCAGACUUCUACGGAAGGCAGCGGUAGGGAAUCUUGGACAAUGGGCGAAAGCCUGAUCCAGCCAUGCCGCGUGAGUGAUGAAGGCCCUAGGGUUGUAAAGCUCUUUCGCCAGGGAAGAUAAUGACGGUACCUGGUAAAGAAACCCCGGCUAACUCCGUGCCAGCAGCCGCGGUAAUAC
rnacentral:rRNA from 1 species